rnacentral:piRNA from 1 species
UCUCGGUGUUGAUGCCUCGACUGGCGAC